rnacentral:tRNA from 1 species
GGCGAUGUGGCCGAGUGGUUAGGCAACGGUCUGCAAAACCGUCCACAGCAGUUCGAUUCUGCUCGUCGCCUCCA